rnacentral:misc_RNA from 1 species
AUCUUUUCCGAUUUUCUGAGGAACUCAGACAGCACUCUUAUUCCUGCCAAAUGCCGAAAAACUUGUGCUGGUGAAAGGUUCAAGUAUGUACGACGUAGGAGGGGGAAGAUCAGAGCGACGUAAGGCUACUGAUACCGGCGGUGGGUUGGAGCCAUCUGCGACCGUGCGCACGCUUUCACCAUCCAUCCGCUGUGGGCGGAGUGCCCCCGUGUCUCGAACGUACCUGCCCGGCCCUCACACGGCCCUGCUGGUGGAGGGGAGUCUCAGUGCCACCCCGAGGGAGAGGCACCACAUGGCGAACUUCGAGGCUGCGGGUGACUGGUAGUGGCCGCACGGGGUGCAGCGCAUGUGGUGCCCCCGCUCCCCCCCCUCCACACCACCAGAGUCUUCGCCCCCCCCCCCCUGCGCGCUUGCUCCACGAGGGCGUCUGACCCGGCGAUGCGCCUGAUAUCGUAUGCGGGGCUCGCCUAUCGAUGGACGCUCACAGCAGCCCGUGUUUCACGCCAUGGACUUGCACGCGGUGAUGUGGGCACACAUGUCUCGCUUGCGCUGCACGGGCUUCCACUGCCGGGUGUCUGCCGCUGUCCUCUGUGCCCCUCAGCACGACGAGCCAUGAGCGCUGUGUGCGCAGACGCAUGUAUGUGUGCGGAUACCGGGGAAGGCGAAGCGCCGCUGCCGCCACAGACUCAGGGCAGCGCCCCGCCUGUCGCGGCACAUGCGGGCAAGGUAUCCAGGCACGCCCCCGGGCAACAACGCCGCCAUGAGGCAGGCACCGUGAUGCGGAAGUGCGAGCAGUGUGCGCCGGCGCUGUCAAGCACCGCUGGCAUGGUGUGUCUGAUGCGAGCAAAGCAUCCAGGGGCCGGCCGAGCACGGGCGAUGGGGGGAGGGGAAGAAGGCGCAUGCAGGGCCAUGCCGAUGCCCCCUCUCCCGCAGUGCAUGUGUGCGGAGCAUGCGGCGUCUCCUGCAUCCGACCGAGUGGGCUGAUGCGGCGCGGACGCCGGGAGGCAUGACGAGGGCACCCGGGACGGCACCACCGAGCCAUCGGGUGUGCACUGCGGAGAGCCGCCACGCCACAUUACGGGAUGCCGCGGUUGGAGCGGACUGGGGGGCGGGCGGGCGAAGCACGGCAUGCAGGCAGUGUGUGCCGGGCCUCAGAAGGACCCUGACCCCUGAGGCUUUCGAGGCUCCUCCUUGCGUUCGUGCGGCACGCACCUGGACCGCCCACCCACCACGUGCACGACAGGCGCCGAUCGCGCAGCGGGCACAGGAAGAGUAGGCGAUGAAGGGCAGGGCGAGCGUGCUGGACGCAUGGCGCGAUUCGACGAGCGGGAGAGCCACGUCCCAGGCGACGAGCAUUUAGCCCGAGUGCGACAGAGUUAGGUGAGCGGUGGCUGCAUGCCGAUGCUUGUCGACAUGUUCGUGUUGGGCCGACACACGCCGACAAGGAGGAAGCGUUUCUCCACACCCUCCGCAUCUUGAUUUGUAUUCUGUGUUUUAAUGUGUCGUUGCUGCCUGCAUGCGCGGCUCUAUUGUCACAUCGUUUUUGUUAUCCUUCAUAGUUCUCUUCUGUUUUGAGACGGAUUAGUCGGCCGGCUGGCGGAGUCGCCAUCAUCGUGGUGUGCUCUUAUUCGUGAUGAUCUUCUGCACCGCUUGUCUCGCUGUGUGAUUCGUGUGAGGCGGGCUUGCCUACGUUUUGAGGGACAUUUUUUUUGUCGUGUCUUUUUUUUUGUGCCUUUCUGCAUAUUAUGUUCGCUCGUGGCGGGGGGAGUGUAUGUGUGCAGCGCUUCAUUUCUCUGUUCCUACAUCUCUCCGUCCUUUCUUGAUGUUGCGGCCCCUCAUCGCAGAUGAAGCGUGCCGGUACUCUUCGCCCUUCCAGUGCGCAUCCGCUGUCUGCAAGAGCGAAAAAACCGGUGAAAGAAGGUUGCGGAGUGGGAGUAGGGAAGGCGGAAGGAGAGCGGAGGAGGGACAUCUGCAACGCACCUCGGUGCUCACAUGUGCUCCCGUAGCAUAGAUCAAGGAUAAAGUGGGGCGGAGGGUUGAUUCUCCCAUAAUGCCCAUGCGACACACGUGCGGCGGAACCUCCUAUGACUGAGGUGCUUGCCAUGGAGCCCGCACUACCGCAGGGGUGGGAACAGAGGGCAUGACGUACACACGCGCACAGACACACCGUAAAAGUAUUGGCGACAAAGAUGCCAAUAAACAGCUGUAUUCGUCAGUAGCGUUUUUUUUGUCUCCUCUGUUUGUUGUGCUUGAGUGCUCGUCUCACUCUCUCUCGCUCGCUCGCCGUCGAUGUGCGUUCAUGCGUUUUUUGGGGAUCGCGUAAGUCUGCCCUGACCUGCUCUAUUUUUUUUUGAAUGUUUCUCUUUUCUCGUCCAUACUCAUCCUGUCUCGAUUUGCUUACCGCGCCUGCACGCCUUCUUAGUGCGCGUUUCACUGUGUGGCUGAUGUCCCUCCGUUCCUCACUCUCUCUAUGCGCCCUCUUCUUUUUGUCCUGUGCGUCAUUUUUUUUUUCGGUGUUGCGCGUGUGCAUGCAUAUAUAUAUAUAUAUGUAUAUGUGUGUAUAUUGCUGUGUGCAUAUACUUGUGUACACAUGCGCUGGUAUGCUCGUGCUUGCGUGCUUCCGUCGUUGUUGUUUUCUGCCUGCGUCAUGUGUAUCGUAUGAGUUUGUGCCGUACUUGGAGACAAACCAAGAAAAGGAAAAGAGGGCAGUGUGCGUGCACGCCAAAUGCGUGUGACUGGACUCCAGCUGAGCGCAAGGGUCGGAACACGACCCAUGCACGCGAUUUGUGAGUGUAAGGGAGGACGCUGGAGUGGUGGGCUGACAAGCGGCACAAGCGCACGAACGUCUCCCAGGAGUGGCCCAUUGCCCCUGCCCUCAUCACCUUUUUGGGAAGGUGGGAUUCAUAGAAGAGACGGGGGAUGCUUGUGCACUGGUGUAACCGAGACUUGUCGCUCUGUGUAUCUCGUUGGUGGAGCCGUGGGUCACCCAGACUCCCGCUACCUCUCUCGUUGGGCAGGUUGCUCUACACACUUCUGUGAGCCCCUUUAAACUAUGUCUCCCCAUCUUUUCUGUUUUUUUUUUGUUUUUGUAUUUGCUAUAUCUUCUCGCAUGCGUGGCCCCCACUCUGUGCUGAUCUACCCUCCCUGUACCCACCCAACUCGUGCGCACGCAUGUACACAUGGCGGCGAUCGAACCCCCUUCCCCGUUCACUCGGAAG